GCACCUUCCCUAGGAGCUGUAAGUAGGUGGGGGUGGCGGGGCCUCUGCAAUCCCAGCAUUCCCUUCGUGCCGCCACCAAGAUGGCGGCGCCCAUCUUGCGGUCCUUUUCCUGGGGCCGUUGGUCUGGUACCCUAAAUCUCUCCGUAUUCUUGCCCUUGGGGCUGCGUAAGGCCCACUCGGGCGCUCAGGGGUUACUGGCAGCGCAGAAGGCUCGAGGUCUGUUCAAGGACUUCUUCCCGGAGACGGGGACGAAAAUAGAGCUCCCAGAGCUCUUCGACCGUGGCACGGCGAGUUUUCCCCAAACCAUUUACUGUGGCUUCGACCCCACGGCAGACUCGCUUCAUGUGGGUCAUCUACUUGCGCUGCUGGGCCUGUUUCAUUUGCAGCGAGCGGGCCACAACGUGAUCGCGCUGGUGGGAGGCGCCACGGCGCGCCUGGGAGACCCGAGCGGCCGGACCAAGGAACGCGAGGCUCUGGAGACAGACCGCGUGCGAGCCAACGCGCGCGCCCUGCGCCUAGGGCUGGAGGCCCUGGCGGCCAAUCACCAGCAGCUUUUCACUGAUGGGCGCUCCUGGGGCAGCUUCACUGUGCUGGACAACUCGGCCUGGUACGAGAAGCGGCACCUGGUGGACUUCCUGGCGGCAGUGGGGGGUCACUUCCGCAUGGGAACGCUGCUGAGCCGGCAGAGCGUGCAGCUGCGGCUCAAGAGCCCCGAGGGCAUGAGCUUGGCCGAGUUCUUUUACCAGGUGCUCCAAGCCUAUGACUUCUAUUACCUCUUCCAGCGUUAUGGAUGCAGGGUCCAGCUGGGCGGAUCUGAUCAACUAGGCAACAUCAUGUCCGGAUAUGAGUUCAUCAACAAGUUGACUGGAGAAGAUGUAUUUGGAAUCACCGUUCCUCUAAUCACAAGUACAACUGGAGCAAAGCUGGGAAAGUCUGCUGGCAACGCUGUUUGGCUAAACAGAGAUAAGACAUCUCCAUUUGAAUUGUAUCAAUUCUUUGUCAGGCAACCAGAUGAUUCAGUGGAAAGGUACCUGAAGCUGUUCACUUUCCUGCCCCUUCCAGAGAUUGAUCAUAUCAUGCAGCUGCAUGUCAAAGAGCCAGAAAGGCGGGGUCCUCAGAAACGACUGGCAGCAGAAGUAACAAAGCUUGUUCAUGGACGAGAAGGAUUGGAUUCUGCUAAAAGGUGUACAAAAGCCCUUUAUCACAGUAGCAUAGAUGCACUGGAGGUCAUGUCUGAUCAGGAGUUGAAAGAGUUGUUUAAAGAAGCUCCAUUUUCUGAAUUUUUUCUCGAUCCUGGAACAAGUGUCCUAGAUACCUGCCGCAAAGCAAAUGCCAUUCCAGAUGGUCCCCGAGGGUAUCGAAUGAUAACAGAAGGCGGAGUCAGCAUAAAUCACCAACAAGUAACAAAUCCUGAGAGUGUUUUAAUUGUUGGACAACAUAUUCUCAAGAAUGGACUUUCCUUACUUAAAAUAGGAAAAAGAAAUUUCUACAUUAUAAAAUGGCUUCAGUUAUGAGGAAAAGUCGUCCUGGUUGUCCACAUAAACUUACCCAUCAUUCAUUCUCAAGACCUCUGAAGGGUUGGCUCCAGAACUUAAGACCUUUGCUUAUGCAAAUCAGAAAAACAGAAUGGACUAGGACCCAGUAGAUGGGGUCUCCUUUUUUAGUGCCAUGUGCUCGCGGCGCCGCCUCUUGCUCCUCCCACCACCGCUGCUGCCCUGAGUCACUGCCUGCACAGCUCCAGCCGCCUGGUUUCCCAUACUAGCCACUGAUAUUUGGAGUUCUUACAACAUGGCAGACACUGACAACCUGCCUAGCUAAGGCAGUUAAAAGAGGAGUGAAUGCUCUCAAAAACCUGCAAGUGAAAGGUGCACAGAUAGAAGCCAAAUUCUAUGAGGAAGUUCACGAUCUUGAAAGGAAGUAUGCUGUUCUCUAUCAGCCUCUAUUUGAUAAGCAAUUCGAGAUUAUUAAUACAAUUUAUGAACCUACGGAGGAAGAAUGUGAAUGGAAACCAGAUGAAGAAGAUAAGAUUUCAGAGGAGUUGAAA